rnacentral:sRNA from 1 species
AUUCAGCCGGCGGUUCGGGGCGACGGACUCUCCAUCCCAGAACCAUGGCCCAAUUUGUCCGUAACCUUGUGGAGAAGACCCCGGCGCUGGUGAACGCUGCUGUGACUUACUCGAAGCCUCGGUUGGCCACAUUUUGGAAGCUGUGCUGAAUGGUUUGGUGGCCACUGAGGUAUUGAUGUGGUUUUAUGUCGGAGAGAUUAUAGGGAAGCGUGGCAUCAUUGGCUAUGAUGUUUGAAGACCAAUCUUUAACAUCUGAUUAUAUUUGAUUUAUUAUUUGAGUGUUGUUGGACCAUGUGUGAUCAGACUGCUAUCUGAAUAAAAUAAGAUUUGUCAAAA